CACUCGGUUAAAAAAACAGAAGCCUUCUUUCCUUCUCCGCGAGCUAGACCCCAAUUAAGCAAUUGCAGCUCCCAUUCUGGUUCUUCUCCCCCCGAUCAGCAACAUCCUUUCCCUUUCCCAAUUAUGGUUCUUCUCUCCCCGAUCUAGGUUUUUUACACAGAAGAGUCUCAUCGAUCAACCUCUCCCCGAUCUAGGUCAAGAAGACACUGUUGGUGGAGUUCUUCGAUCCGAUUUUACAAAGUAUACUGUUGUUGCACGGAUUUCUGGUCAAGGAGAGGAGUCGUUACAGAUAAAAAAAAAACCAACCAAAAAGCUUCAAACUUUACCUCAUUUCAUCUUCGUUUUCGGAUUCUGUUGAAUACCCAGUUCGUUUUUGAUCGCCAAGAUCGUGUAUUUUGGUAUUGGCUGUGUGAUUGAAGUGAAUUUUGAUAUUGGUUUAAUGUAAAAAUUGGGGCUUUUGAUGAAUAGAGUGGUGAAAUUGAUCUGGGAUUUGAUCAAUUGGGAAUGGAGAAUAGUGGAGAAGCUCUAGAUGAUGAUGGCGCUGGAUGGUUCGAAGUGAAAAAGGUUUUAUGAUAUUGAUGUACAACUUUGAAACUUACUUGGAUUUCCGCCAACAUGCUGCUCUCAAACUUCCAACACUUCCUAAAACUUUGGAAGGAGUAAUCAGCCCAGAAAAGUUUGAGAAGUCGAGAGCCUACUGUCUUGAAUGAAGGUAUAUGUGAUUCUUAUUGACCAACAAUUCUCCCUAUUCUAAUAGCCCCACUCUUUAAAAAGCUCACCCCUGUAAGUGUUCCAAAUAUAUAUUGAUCACUAACUGAAAUCGAUUCAUUCACCAUUAAUUCAUUAAUUAAGUUUGGUUUUGUUGUCUUAUUUUCGUACUUAAUUAUUUGAGACUAUAGCUUCCGGAGGGUCCGCUUAGGGAGAAAAGUGAGAAGCUCGCUUCUUCCCUCAUGUUUCCAUUAAAUUAAAGAAGUUGUUUGUCGUUGAUGGAUCUAUAAGGUCAAGUCACAGCAAUGUGAGGACUUUCACAAUGUUUACGUUGUUCUGAAUUUUUGUGGACUUUCUCGAUCAUCUUACCUAUAUAUCAUGGUACAGGCCUAUAUGUAUGGAUUUUUUAAGAACAAGAGGAUUGUCCUUUAUGAUACACUGAUCCAGCAUGUAUUAAUUUCAUACCAAAAAAUUAUCAAAACUUGUAUUGUCUCGGUUAGUUUGUUGUUGUAUAUAUCAUUGUGGAAAAAAGGUAUUUAUGUGUGUAAAUGAGUGCUUGCAGUGCAAAAAUGAUGAGGAAAUUGUAGCUGUUCUAGCUCAUGAGCUAGGCCAUUGGAAGCUUAAUCACAGUGUAUACUUAUUCAUUUCUAUGCAGUUUCCACCGCCAAGCCUUUUAAUAGAAGGCAUGAUCAUGGACUUUGCUUGGUCUUCAUUGUUCCACCGCUUUAUGAUCAAAGUGAAAGAGAGGGAAGAGAUAAAGCUUUAAUUAUACUUUGUUGUCUGACACAUGUUCAAGGAAAUUUAUAGCAAACUUUGACAAUGAUUAACUUGAAUAUAUAUAUAUAUAUAUAUAUAUAUAUAUAUAUAUAUAUAUAUAUAUAUAUAUAUAUAUCCUGAAAUCUCUUCCCCUUUAGUUCUCGGACAAAAGUUACAGCAGCACCACACUUUUAGUUGCAUAUGGGAUUUAUGUGUUUUGAUUAGUUCUCAUCAAAACUGUUGCAGGUACCAUAUCUUUUGAAGAAAACAUGACCACCCCAAUAUUUCGGUGCUUGUGACUCUCAAGGUACCAUAUCUUUUGAAGAAAACAUGACCACCCCAAUAUUUCGGUGCUUGUGACUCUCAAGGAAAUAGCCGAGCUUCAUUCUGGUCCAUCACGUGGCUUUCAGGCGGUCUUAGGAUUGAUUGUACAAGUUCAAUCCUCGAUACAUACUGGGGAAGCCUCCAAGAAGUUUUGUGAUCGCAGGUGAGCCAAGUAAAACAUGCUGCUGAUUUGUGAUUGAAGAUGAGCUAAACCGAGCGCUUUGCAGACUUGUGGCUGGAGGUAGGCACCCUUUUGUAAAGAGAUGGUUACUUUACUUUCAGGGGCAUGAUGACUUUGAUGCAGGUGGAGACAUAGCUUGGCAUUGAAACUCUGCACGGGGAUCAUCUUGGAGCAGCUUCCCUACUUUUUUGUGAACCCAAGAACCUCGCAGAUUUGUCUUUGGCGUGAACCAACAGAUUUGACUUGGUGCAAUAUUAGGUAAAUGAUCGAGAUAAGAUGGUUUUUUGGUUCUCUCGAUCAUUAUAUAACUGUUGGCUAGGUUUAGAGUUGGAACUAUGGAUUGUAUUUUGGAUGAUGUUGAUGCAAUGAAACGUAGGCAUCAUUGUGAAUACUGAUUUUAGUCCAAUUUUAUGGUUUUGAUGAUUGUAAAUGAAUGAUGUUGAAAUGGUUGAAAGGCAACAGAUAUAUGCAGAU